rnacentral:rRNA from 1 species
UACGUAGGGAGCAAGCGUUGUCCGGAAUCAUUGGGCGUAAAGCGCGCGUAGGUGGCUUCGUAAGUCCGUUGUGAAAGUCAAAGGCUCAACCUUUGAAAGCCGAUGGAUACUGCGGAGCUAGAGUACGGAAGAGGCGAGUGGAAUUCCUGGUGUAGCGGUGGAAUGCGCAGAUAUCAGGAGGAACACCGGUGGCGAAGGCAGCUCUCUGGGACGGUACUGACGCUGAGACGCGAAAGCGUGGGGAGCGAACAGG